rfam:Flavobacteriaceae bacterium TMED81 2600, whole genome shotgun sequence.
UACAUUUGCACCCUCAAGAAAAGUUCUUGAGUUUACAUAAUAAUCAUUUACAAUAAUAUUGGCAUG